rnacentral:tRNA from 1 species
GAGGGUAUAGCUCAGUGGUAGAGCAUGUGCUUAGCAUGCUCGAGGUCCUGGGUUCAAUCCCAGUACCUCCA